rnacentral:rRNA from 1 species
UACGGGGGGGGCAAGCGUUGUUCGGAAUUACUGGGCGUAAAGGGCUCGUAGGCGGCCAACUAAGUCAGACGUGAAAUCCCUCAGCUUAACUGGGGAACUGCGUCUGAUACUGGAUGGCUUGAGUUUGGGAGAGGGAUGCGGAAUUCCAGGUGUAGCGGUGAAAUGCGUAGAUAUCUGGAGGAAUACCGGUGGCGAAGGCGGGUCUCUGGGCCGAAACUGACGCUGAGAAGCGAAAGCGUGGGGAGCGAACAGG